UUCAAGAGUUUCUUUCGGGUCUCCCGGAAAUCUCCAUUUGCUCUUAAAGCUCUCUUUGUUUUGUUCUUGCUGGGUGUAGGUAAAAGUGUGUUCCUCUUUUAAUUUUUUCUCAGAUCUUCUUCUCUUUUCUCUUUUUUUGUCCUUUCGUAAUAUUUUGGGUUGUCUUCGUACUUUUUCUCUUCGUCGUUUUUCUUUAGGUGCUUUUCCCGGUUCUAUGAAUACUUUUUAAUUUUGCAAUUUCAUGGUUAUCAUGUGCUAAAUCCGACUGUGUGACUGGGAGUAGACGGGAAUUAGCGCUAUAAAUUUUUCUAAAAUACAUAAUGGUAUUGAAAGAAGACUCGGAGGCUUCUUAGUCAUAUUUGGAGGCAUUUUUCAAUUAAAAGGUAAUGUUUUCUCUCAUAUGAUAUUUUAUGUAUAAAUAUUGUAUGUUUAGCUGAGUUCUUCCAUUUCGAAACAAUCUAAAAACUACUUCAAGUGAUUGUUCUUUGUUGAUUUUGUCACCUGUAAAAGAGGUCUUCUACUAUUCUUUUGGUUCCUUGUUGUGUUUGGUUCCUUUAUAUAUGUAAAUAGUAGGAGUAAUAUUUAUCAGUUAA